rnacentral:rRNA from 1 species
UACGUAGGGUGCAAGCGUUAAUCGGAAUUACUGGGCGUAAAGCGUGCGCAGGCGGUCAUGCAAGACAGAUGUGAAAUCCCCGGGCUCAACCUGGGAACUGCAUUUGUGACUGCAUGGCUGGAGUGCGGCAGAGGGGGAUGGAAUUCCGCGUGUAGCAGUGAAAUGCGUAGAUAUGCGGAGGAACACCGAUGGCGAAGGCAAUCCCCUGGGCCUGCACUGACGCUCAUGCACGAAAGCGUGGGGAGCAAACAGG